rnacentral:rRNA from 1 species
CAGUCGCCGCGGUAAUACCAGCAGCCCAAGUGGUGGUCGCGAUUAUUGGGCCUAAAGCGCUCGUAGCCGGGCCGGUAAGUCCCUUGUGAAAUCGGACGGCCUAACCGUUCGGCGUGCAAGGGAUACUGUCGGUCUUGAGGCCGGGAGACGUCCGGGGUACUCCGGGGGUAGUGGUGAAAUGUUCUGAUCCUCGGGGGACCACCGGUGGCGAAGGCGUUCGACGAGAACGGGCCUGACGGUGAGGGGCGAAGGCUAGGGGAGCAAACGGGAUUAGAUACCCGAGUAGUCCCUGUCUCUUAUA